rnacentral:tmRNA from 1 species
UACUUGAACAAUCUUCGAUUCUGACGGUAUAAUGUGAAAGUCAGCGAUGACUAUGGUAAUAAACACUAUCUAUAAUAGGUAUUUUGGACUCGGGGGCAGUACCCGACGCCUCCACCACAUUUAUUCGGGGGCGAAACAGCUUCGACAGAUGCUCAAAAAGGUAGACACUUUACUCAGUUUGGUCCGGCUGUAAUAGGCUAAAAAUAAAUAAAUGCAAACUUGAACAAAGUUGUAGCAAACGAUAAUUGGGUACCUACUGCUGCUAUGGCGGCCUAAGUACAAGGUUAUCGAAGCGGUGUGGGACUACCGGGCAACAGAAGUGUCCCAUC